rnacentral:rRNA from 1 species
AGUGAACGCUGGCGGUAGGCCUAACACAUGCAAGUCGAACGGCAGCACAGUAAGAGCUUGCUCUUACGGGUGGCGAGUGGCGGACGGGUGAGGAAUACAUCGGAAUCUACUUUUUCGUGGGGGAUAACGUAGGGAAACUUACGCUAAUACCGCAUACGACCUACGGGUGAAAGCAGGGGAUCUUCGGACCUUGCGCGAUUGAAUGAGCCGAUGUCGGAUUAGCUAGUUGGCGGGGUAAAGGCCCACCAAGGCGACGAUCCGUAGCUGGUCUGAGAGGAUGAUCCGCCACACUGGAACUGAGACACGGUCCAGACUCCUACGGGAGGCAGCAGUGGGGAAUAUUGGACAAUGGGCGCAAGCCUGAUCCAGCCAUACCGCGUGGGUGAAGAAGGCCUUCGGGUUGUAAAGCCCUUUUGCUGGGAAAGAAAAGCAGCAGGUUAAUACCCCGCUGUUCUGACGGUACCCAAAGAAUAAGCACCGGCUAACUUCGUG